UACGUAGGUGGCAAGCGUUGUCCGGAAUUACUGGGUGUAAAGGGUGCGCAGGCGGGACGGCAAGUCAAAUGUGAAAUCCAUAGGCUUAACCUGUGGGCUGCGAUUGAAACUGUCGUUCUUGAGUGAAGUAGAGGUAGGCGGAAUUCCGAGUGUAGCGGUGAAAUGCGUAGAUAUUCGGAGGAACACCAGUGGCGAAGGCGGCCUACUGGGCUUUUACUGACGCUGAGGCACGAAAGCAUGGGGAGCAAAC
rnacentral:rRNA from 1 species